rnacentral:rRNA from 1 species
GACGAACGCUGGCGGCGUGCCUAAUACAUGCAAGUCGAACGAGAGCGACCGGUGCUUGCACUGGUCAAUCUAGUGGCGAACGGGUGAGUAACACGUGGGUAACCUGCCCAUCAGAGGGGGAUAACAUCCGGAAACGGAUGCUAAAACCGCGUAGGUCUUCGAACCGCAUGGUUUGAAGAGGAAAAGAGGCGCAAGCUUCUGCUGAUGGAUGGACCCGCGGUGCAUUAGCUAGUUGGUGAGGUAACGGCUCACCAAGGCCGUGAUGCAUAGCCGACCUGAGAGGGUGAUCGGCCACAUUGGGACUGAGACACGGCCCAAACUCCUACGGGAGGCAGCAGUAGGGAAUCUUCCGCAAUGGACGCAAGUCUGACGGAGCAACGCCGCGUGAGUGAAGAAGGUUUUCGGAUCGUAAAACUCUGUUGUUAGAGAAGAACAAGUGCUAGAGUAACUGUUAGCGCCUUGACGGUAUCUAACCAGAAAGCCACGGCUAACUACGUG